UAGAGUUUGAUCCUGGCUCAGAUUGAACGCUGGCGGCAGGCCUAACACAUGCAAGUCGAGCGGUAGCACAGAGAGCUUGCUCUCGGGUGACGAGCGGCGGACGGGUGAGUAAUGUCUGGGAAACUGCCUGAUGGAGGGGGAUAACUACUGGAAACGGUAGCUAAUACCGCAUAACGUCGCAAGACCAAAGUGGGGGACCUUCGGGCCUCAUGCCAUCAGAUGUGCCCAGAUGGGAUUAGCUAGUAGGUGGGGUAACGGCUCACCUAGGCGACGAUCCCUAGCUGGUCUGAGAGGAUGACCAGCCACACUGGAGCUGAGACACGGUCCAGACUCCUACGGGAGGCAGCAGUGGGGAAUAUUGCACAAUGGGCGCAAGCCUGAUGCAGCCAUGCCGCGUGUAUGAAGAAGGCCUUCGGGUUGUAAAGUACUUUCAGCGGGGAGGAAGGCGAUAAGGUUAAUAACCUUGUCGAUUGACGUUACCCGCAGAAGAAGCACCGGCUAACUCCGUGCCAGCAGCCGCGGUAAUA
rnacentral:rRNA from 1 species